UACGGGGGGAGCAAGCGUUGUUCGGAUUUACUGGGCGUAAAGGGCGCGUAGGCGGUCAGCACAAGUCAGUUGUGAAAUCUCCGGGCUUAACUCGGAAAGGUCAACUGAUACUGUGCGACUAGAGUGCGGAAGGGGCAACUGGAAUUCUCGGUGUAGCGGUGAAAUGCGUAGAUAUCGAGAGGAACACCUGCGGCGAAGGCGGGUUGCUGGGCAGACACUGACGCUGAGGCGCGAAAGCCAGGGGAGCAAACGGG
rnacentral:rRNA from 1 species